rnacentral:tRNA from 1 species
GGGGGGGUAGAGUGCAUGCUUAGCAUGCAUGAGGUCCUGGGUUCAAUCCCCAGUUCCUCCU